rnacentral:rRNA from 1 species
CAAGUCGAGCGGUAGAGAGAAGCUUGCUUCUCUUGAGAGCGGCGGACGGGUGAGUAAAGCCUAGGAAUCUGCCUGGUAGUGGGGGAUAACGUUCGGAAACGGACGCUAAUACCGCAUACGUCCUACGGGAGAAAGCAGGGGACCUUCGGGCCUUGCGCUAUCAGAUGAGCCUAGGUCGGAUUAGCUAGUUGGUGAGGUAAUGGCUCACCAAGGCGACGAUCCGUAACUGGUCUGAGAGGAUGAUCAGUCACACUGGAACUGAGACACGGUCCAGACUCCUACGGGAGGCAGCAGUGGGGAAUAUUGGACAAUGGGCGAAAGCCUGAUCCAGCCAUGCCGCGUGUGUGAAGAAGGUCUUCGGAUUGUAAAGCACUUUAAGUUGGGAGGAAGGGCAGUUACCUAAUACGUGAUUGUUUUGACGUUACCGACAGAAUAAGCACCGGCUAACUCUGUGCCAGCAGCCGCGGUAAUACAGAGGGUGCAAGCGUUAAUCGGAAUUACUGGGCGUAAAGCGCGCGUAGGUGGUUUGUUAAGUUGGAUGUGAAAUCCCCGGGCUCAACCUGGGAACUGCAUUCAAAACUGACUGACUAGAGUGUGGUAGAGGGUGGUGGAAUUUCCUGUGUAGCGGUGAAAUGCGUAGAUAUAGGAAGGAACACCAGUGGCGAAGGCGACCACCURGACCAACACUGACACUGAGGUGCGAAAGCGUGGGGAGCAAACAGGAUUAGAUACCCUGGUAGUCCACGCCGUAAACGAUGUCAACUAGCCGUUGGGAGCCUUGAGCUCUUAGUGGCGCAGCUGACGCAUUAAGUUGACUGCCUGGGGAGUACGG